GAGUUUGAUCCUGGCUCAGAUUGAACGCUGGCGGUAUGCUUAACACAUGCAAGUCGAACGGUAGCACGGUAUGUAGCAAUACAUAUGGGUGACGAGUGGCGGACGGGUGAGUAACGCGUAGGAAUCUGCCCUCAAGCGGGGGACAACCCGAGGAAACUCGGGCUAAUACCGCAUAAUCUCGAGAGAGUAAAGCUGGGGCAACCUGGCACUUGAGGAGGAGCCUGCGUCUGAUUAGCUAGUUGGUGAGGUAAAGGCUCACCAAGGCGAUGAUCGGUAACUGGUCUGAGAGGAUGACCAGUCACACUGGGACUGAGACACGGCCCAGACUCCUACGGGAGGCAGCAGUGGGGAAUAUUGGACAAUGGGGGCAACCCUGAUCCAGCAAUACCGCGUGUGUGAAGACGGCCUUCGGGCUGUAAAGCACUUUAGUUGGGGAAGAAGGUUAGUAUUUUAAGAGAUAACUAAUUUGACGGUACCCAAAGAAUAAGCACCGGCUAACUCUGUGCCAGCAGCCGCGGUAAUACAGAGGGUGCGAGCGUUAAUCGGAAUUACUGGGCGUAAAGGGCGCGUAGGCGGUUAUUUAAGUUAGAUGUGAAAUCCCUGGGCUUAACCUAGGAACUGCAUCUAAUACUGGAUAGCUAGAGUGCAGUAGAGGGUAGUGGAAUUUCCGGUGUAGCGGUGAAAUGCGUAGAUAUCGGAAGGAACACCAGCGGCGAAGGCGGCUACCUGGACUGACACUGAC
rnacentral:rRNA from 1 species